AAUGAAAAAUGCGGGUGAGAGGCCUCAGUAAAAUGGCUGCCGUUGUGGCAGUGAAAGGGCACCGUCCAAAUGGCUGCCACUUAUAAUGAACAAAAAAGGAAGAUGUCCACUGGCCAUCCCUAAAACAGGGUUUCCCCUCAUGCAAAGGGGACAGAAGUAAUCCAAAUGGUAAAAAGCAAAGCAAUGCAAAUUUAUACUAAGGUAUUCUUUAAUUCCCUGAGGCUAACCCCUUCCACCAACUGGAUGCAGUUGAGGUUUUGCACAAAAUGGCUGACACACUACAGCGACCUUGCCCAAUCUGGUGCCCUCCAGGUAUGUUGGACUAGCUCCCACCAUAGCCAUACUGGCUGGGGAUGGUGAGAGUUGUAGUUGGACACAUCUGUAGGGUGCCAGAUUGGAGAAAACUGCACGAUGGGAUCCCUCCCCUUCCCCAGCAGCAGGAAGACACACACUAAAGCCAUGAUUGCUUACAAGCCUUUCCCCCCCUUUUUCUUCCUUCCUCAGCUCUGGAGUCUUGUCACGUUACUCAGGUUCUGGACACAAUGGCUAUGUCGAUGUGGAUAUGGAGAUGGAUGGACGCAUGCCACACAACUCCGUGGCGUUAAGGAGGGAGAAACACAGGCUUAGCACUCGCAUCAAAUGAGAGUGAAGCCGAAAAUUGUCAAGACGGCUGCAGCUCGCCCCCAAAACAAGCGAGGGAGACAGCUGCGAUAGUCACUGCUCAUGCACUGUCACUGAUGUAUACAGGCUUGGAGUAGAAAAUUAACUCGCCAAGCCUGCCGUGUUUGCACGUAUUGUAAACUGCAAAGAUACAUUUGAAAUGCAAAGUGCCUUACAGUCUUGUCCUGGUGGGACAAACUCUCCCCCUAUUGAAAUUAGUGGCUCUUAUUGACACUGAAUUAGAAGUCUUUGCCCAUUUUUUGUUAGGGGAUCUGAAAAUAUGAGGAAUAGCAUUAGAAGAAUUAUUCUGGGCAGGAUGGAUUCGUAGCGAGAUUGCACCUGCCUAGGUUGGGAAAGGAAGGCACUAGAAAUGGGGCAGGUCUAGAGAAAGCAGGGUAUGAGACAAAUGAAAAGGCAACAUACUCGGCCCCUGCAGCUGAUGUACUUUUGCUAUGCUCAAUAAAGACGCUUAACUGUU